rnacentral:rRNA from 1 species
UUAGUACGAGAGGACCGGGAUGGACGUACCUCUGGUGUACCAGUUGUUCUGCCAAGGGCAUGGCUGGGUAGCUAUGUACGGAAUGGAUAAGCGCUGAAAGCAUCUAAGCGCGAAGCCAACUUCAAGAUAAGAUUUCCCACCGCAAGGGUAAGACCCCAGAAAGACUAUCUGGUUGAUAGGUCGAAGGUGUAAGUGCAGCAAUGUAUUUAGCUUAUCGAUACUAAUAGGUCGAGGACUUGACCAAU